rnacentral:rRNA from 1 species
UACAGAGGUCCCAAGCGUUGUUCGGAUUCACUGGGCGUAAAGGGUGCGUAGGCCGCGCGGAGGGUGGGAUGUGAAAUCCCCCGGCUCAACCGGGGAAUAGCGUCCCAAACCGCCGUGCUCGAGGGAGACAGAGGUGAGCGGAACUGAUGGUGGAGCGGUGAAAUGCGUUGAUAUCAUCAGGAACACCAGUGGCGAAAGCGGCUCACUGGGUCUUUCCUAACGCUGAGGCACGAAAGCUAGGGGAGCGAACGGG